rnacentral:misc_RNA from 1 species
AACGCAAAUUGCGCCUUCUUUCGGAAGGCAUGUCUGUUUGAGGGCACCAUUUAACAAAUAAUGUGCGCGUCGUUUUUACGAGCGAUGUGCACACGUUGAUGAGCUUUUCCGAAAAAACCAGGUUUUUUUGGUGGCGCAUAAUGAACAGCGUGGGCUUUUUCUUCGAUUCUCGUGUAGUAAAUCUUCAACGCUUGGGUUGAGAAAAAGUGCGUGCCGCGCAAUGGGUGUGGCGAAUUUUACCCCUGCCCCAAUGCCACUCUUUCCCUGCGAAAGAACAUCUUUUAUUCAGGGCCUCAAAUCAGACAAGAGUACCCGCUGAACUUAA